rnacentral:rRNA from 1 species
AACGAACGCUGGCGGCAUGCCUAACACAUGCAAGUCGAACGAGACCUUCGGGUCUAGUGGCGCACGGGUGCGUAACGCGUGGGAACCUGCCCUUAGGUUCGGAAUAACUCCCCGAAAGGGGUGCUAAUACCGGAUAAUGUCUUCGGACCAAAGAUUUAUCGCCUUUGGAUGGGCACGCGUUGGAUUCGCUAGUUGGUAGGGUAAAAGCCUACCAAGGCGACGAUCCAUAGCUGGUCUGAGAGGAUGAUCAGCCACACUGGGACUGAGACACGGCCCAGACUCUUACGGGAGGCAGCAGUGGGGAAUAUUGGACAAUGGGCGAAAGCCUGAUCCAGCAAUGCCGCGUGAGUGAUGAAGGCCUUAGGGUUGUAAAGCUCUUUUACCCGGGAUGAUAAUGACAGUACCGGGAGAAUAAGCUCCGGCUAACUCCGUG